rnacentral:rRNA from 1 species
UUAAAUUGAAGAGUUUGAUCAUGGCUCAGAUUGAACGCUGGCGGCAGGCCUAACACAUGCAAGUCGAGCGGCAGCGGGGGGAAGCUUGC